CUGGCAGCAGAACGCUGGAGUUCAACUCCAGCCGAUAGGAGGCCACGCACCCCCAGCUUUUGGAGUCCAGCCGAUUGCCCAGUUGCCACAUCGGCAGGCUGGGGUUUAGCAUCAUGACGGACAUUAGCAGGUUGAUUGGGUGAAUUAGAUAGCCGAUGUGAUUCAGAAUCAUUUCGGUUUGAAACCCAGGGAGCAGGGAGCAGGAGU
rnacentral:lncRNA from 1 species